UACGAAGGGGGCUAGCGUUGCUCGGAAUCACUGGGCGUAAAGCGCACGUAGGCGGCUUCUUAAGUCAGGGGUGAAAGCCUGGAGCUCAACUCCAGAACUGCCUUUGAUACUGAGAAGCUUGAGUCCGGGAGAGGUGAGUGGAACUGCGAGUGUAGAGGUGAAAUUCGUAGAUAUUCGCAAGAACACCAGUGGCGAAGGCGGCUCACUGGCCCGGUACUGACGCUGAGGUGCGAAAGCGUGGGGAGCAACAGGG
rnacentral:rRNA from 1 species